rnacentral:rRNA from 1 species
AUGUAGGCUUCGGUCUACUAGUAAAGUGGCGGAAGGAGCGUGACACGUGGGUAAUCUACCUUCCGGCGGGGGACAACAGUCCGAAAGGAUUGCUAAUACCGCAUACGUCAGCGGCGCCUACGGGCGCUGUUGGGAAAGAUAGCCUCUCCUUGGAAGCUGUCACACGGAAGAUGAGCCCGCGCCCCAUCAGACUAGUUGGUGAGGUAAUGGCUCACCAAGGCUUAGACGGGUAGCUGGUCUGAGAGGAUGAUCAGCCACACUGGGACUGCGACACGGCCCAGACUCCUACGGGAGGCAGCAGUGGGGAAUAUUGGGCAAUGGGCGAAAGCCUGACCCAGCCACGCCGCGUGAGUGAUGAAGGCCUUCGGGUCGUAAAGCUCUGUUUUUUUUGGACGAAUAAGUCCGGCAUCAAUACCAACGGGCCCUGAACGGUACCUCCUUAGCAAGCACCGGCUAACCCUGUGCCAGCAGCCGCGGUAAUACAGGGGGUGCAAACGUUGCUCGGAAUUAUUUGGGCGUAAAGCGCACGUAGGCGGUUCGUUAUGUCAGAUGUGAAAGCCCUUUGGCUCAACUGAGGAAGUGCAUCUGAAACUGGGCGAGCUAGAGUAUGUAAGAGGGGUCGCGGAAUUUCCCGGGUGUAGAGGUGAAAUUCGUAGAUAUCGGGAGGAACAACCGGUGGGCGAAGGCGGCGACCUGGGACAAUACUGACGCUGAGGUGCGAAAGCGUGGGGAGCAAACAGAAUUAGAUACCCUGGUAGUCCACGCCGUAAACGAUUAUUUUUUAGAAUUUUUCUGGUAUUUGACCCCGGAGGCGUGGUAGCCUAACGCGUUAAAGCACUCCCGCCCUGGGGAGUGCGUGCGCAAGGGUAAAACUCAAAGGAAUUGAACGGGGGGCCCGCACAGGCGGGGGGAGCAUGGGGGUUCAAUUUCGUACGCAACGCGGCAAGAACCUUAUCCUCGGGGGGUUGGAACCCCCCCCAAUUCCGCACAAUGUGGAUGUGCCCGCAAGGAAUUCGAUGUCCAGUGUUGCAUGGCUGUCGCCAGCCGUGUCGUAGAAUGUUGGAUUUAAUUCCGCAACGAAGCGCAACCUUGUCUUAUUU